rnacentral:rRNA from 1 species
GAGGAAAAGAAACCAACAGGGAUUGCCUCAGUAGCGGCGAGUGAAGCGGCAAAAGCUCAAAUUUGAAAUCUGGCGUCUUUGGCGUCCGAGUUGUAAUUUGAAGAAGGUAUCUUUGGGCCCGGCUCUUGUCUAUGUUCCUUGGAACAGGACGUCACAGAGGGUGAGAAUCCCGUGCGAUGAGAUGACCCGGGUCUGUGUAAAGUUCCUUCGACGAGUCGAGUUGUUUGGGAAUGCAGCUCUAAGUGGGUGGUAAAUUCCAUCUAAAGCUAAAUAUUGGCGAGAGACCGAUAGCGAACAAGUACAGUGAUGGAAAGAUGAAAAGAACUUUGAAAAGAGAGUGAAAAAGUACGUGAAAUUGUUGAAAGGGAAGGGCUUGAGAUCAGACUUGGUAUUUUGCAUGCUGCUCUCUCGGGGGCGGCCGCUGCGGUUUACCGGGCCAGCAUCGGUUUGGAGCGGCAGGAUAAUGGCGGAGGAAUGUGGCACGGCUUCUGCUGUGUGUUAUAGCCUCUGACGAUACUGCCAGCCUAGACCGAGGACUGCGGUUUUUACCUAGGAUGUUGGCAUAAUGAUCUUAAGUCGCC